AGAGUUUGAUCCUGGCUCAGGAUGAACGCUGGCGGUAUGCUUAACACAUGCAAGUCGAACGGUCACUUCGGUGAUAGUGGCGGACGGGUGAGUAACGCGUGAGAAUCUAGCUCUAGGUCGGGGACAACCACUGGAAACGGUGGCUAAUACCGGAUGAGCCGAAAGGUAAAAGAUUAAUUGCCUAGAGAUGAGCUCGCGUCUGAUUAGCUAGUAGGUGUGGUAAGAGCGCACCUAGGCGACGAUCAGUAGCUGGUCUGAGAGGAUGAUCAGCCACACUGGGACUGAGACACGGCCCAGACUCCUACGGGAGGCAGCAGUGGGGAAUUUUCCGCAAUGGGCGAAAGCCUGACGGAGCAAUACCGCGUGAGGGAGGAAGGCUCUUGGGUUGUAAACCUCUUUUCUCAGGGAAUAAGAACUGAAGGUACCUGAGGAAUAAGCAUCGGCUAACUCCGUGCCAGCAGCCGCGGUAAUACGGAGGAUGCAAGCGUUAUCCGGAAUGAUUGGGCGUAAAGGGUCCGCAGGUGGCCUUGUAAGUCUGCUGUUAAAGAGUGAGGCUUAACCUCAUAAAAGCAGUGGAAACUACAAAGCUAGAGUGCGUUCGGGGUAGCAGGAAUUCCUGGUGUAGCGGUGAAAUGCGUAGAGAUCAGGAAGAACACCGGUGGCGAAAGCGUGCUACUAGGCCGUAACUGACACUGAGGGACGAAAGCUAGGGGAGCGAAUGGGAUUAGAUACCCCAGUAGUCCUAGCCGUAAACGAUGGAUACUAGGCGUGGCUUGUAUCGACCCGAGCCGUGCCGGAGCUAACGCGUUAAGUAUCCCGCCUGGGGAGUACGCACGCAAGUGUGAAACUCAAAGGAAUUGACGGGGGCCCGCACAAGCGGUGGAGUAUGUGGUUUAAUUCGAUGCAACGCGAAGAACCUUACCAAGACUUGACAUGUCGCGAAUCCUCUUGAAAGGGAGGAGUGCCUUCGGGAGCGCGAACACAGGUGGUGCAUGGCUGUCGUCAGCUCGUGUCGUGAGAUGUUGGGUUAAGUCCCGCAACGAGCGCAACCCUCGUUUUUAGUUGCCAGCAUUAAGUUGGGCACUCUAGAGAGACUGCCGGUGACAAACCGGAGGAAGGUGGGGAUGACGUCAAGUCAGCAUGCCCCUUACGUCUUGGGCUACACACGUACUACAAUGCUACGGACAAAGGGCAGCUACACAGCGAUGUGAUGCAAAUCUCAGAAACCGUAGCUCAGUUCAGAUCGAAGCUUGCAACUCAGCUUCGUGAAGGAGGAAUCGCUAGUAAUUGCAGGUCAGCAUACUGCAGUGAAUUCGUUCCCGGGCCUUGUACACACCGCCCGUCACACCAUGGAAGCUGGUCACGCCCGAAGUCAUUACCUCAACCUUUCGGGGAGGGGGAUGCCUAAGGUAGGACUGGUGACUGGGGUGAAGUCGUAACAAGGUAGCCGUACCGGAAGGUGUGGCUGGAUCACCUCCUUUUUAGGGAGACCUAAUCCACUCAGAAUCUCGAAAGCAAACAGCAAAUAGAGAAUGAGAGGGUCUAGCCUAGGUCGGUCGAGAUUGGUGAAAGCUUUCUCAGUCAUACUUUUCGGUUGAUUAACUAAAAAAACUGCAGUAGAGAGACGAAACAGUCAGCAACUGACGAAAUUAGAGAAUAAAGUCCGACUGCUGGGUGUCAUUACGGCCAGGAACAUGAAAACUGCAUAGAUAUCGCGUAAGAAUAGCCCGGGCGACACUAGUAUCGAACUGAUAGGUAGUGUGUGCUGGAUGAGAUCUAGUUGUAUUGUGACAAGCCAUCAAUGGCUGAUGGUGGAUACCUGGGCCCG
rnacentral:rRNA from 1 species